GAUGAACGCUAGCGAAAUGCCUAACACAUGCAAGUCGAACGGACCUUGCCUUGUGCUUGCACAAAGUAAGGUUAGUGGCAAACGAGCGAGUAACGCGUGCUUAACCUGCCCCGAAGAUGGGAAUAACUGCAGAGAUGUAGCUAAUUCCCAAUAUGCUCACGAUGGUGAAAUUCCGAUGUGAGGAAAGAUUUAUCGCUUCGGGAGGGGGGUGCGUCCUAUCAGGUAGUUGGUAAGGUAAUGGCUUACCAAGCCUAUGACGGGUAACCGGUCUGAGAUGAUGUCCGGUCGCGAUGGGACUGAGAUACGGCCCAUACUCCUACGGGAGGCAGCAGUGGGGAAUCUUGCACAAUGGACGAAAGUCUGAUGCAGCAAUUUCGCGUGAAGGAUGAAGCAUUACGGUGUGUAAACUUCUUUUUUGGAGGAAGACGAAUGACGGUACUUCAAGAAUAAGAGACGGCUAACUACGUGCCAGCAGCCGCGGUAAUACGUAGGUCUCAAGCGUUAUCCGGAUUUACUGGGCGUAAAGUGUCCGUAGUCUGAUCUGUAAGUCUGUUUUCAAAUCCUACGACUCAAUCGUAGAAAGGGAAUGGAUACUGCAGAUCUAGAAGUAUCUAGGGGUUAGUGGAAUUUCCGGUGGAGCGGUGAAAUGCGUUGAUAUCGGAAGGAACGCCGAAAGCGAAAGCAGCUAACUAUAGAAUACUUGACGAUGAGGGACGACAGUUUGGGGAGCAAACAGG
rnacentral:rRNA from 1 species